UGGUUGACGCUGCUGUCGAAGUUGGAUGAUAUUGCUCACGGAGGAGGCUUCUGAGAAGGGCAUAAAUGGGUUUUAAAAAAGCAGUGAAUUGGAAUGGGAAUGGCAGAUAAAGAGAAACACAUUUUCUGCAUUUUCUAAUGAUUACUCACAUAGUUGAGCCUUGCACGUUAUAUUUAUUAGAACGACCACCCCCCAUUUAGUUUUCCUUUGAAGAGUCUUUCUUGUAAACCGUGGGUGCGUGUGUGUUUGCGUCCCGAUCUGCCAGGGCUGGGCGCCAAGUGCAAAGUGCGCAGCCGCGAAGUGGAGUCGGCGCCGGCGGGAGCGCGGGGCUCAGGGCCAGGGCCCGCCUCCAGGGGGCGGUGUGCGCCCCCGGCGCUGGAGCAGCCGCGUUUCGGGGACCCGGGCAGGCGUGGGGGGCUGCGCUGAGCUCCAGGCCUCCUGCAGAGGUGCAAUAAGAAUCGUAUUACUAAUGUGGUGUCCUCUGGAAUGGUCACAUGAACACAGUUCCCUGCAGAUGUAAUUGGGAGAGAAGGCACAGUCCUGACACAGGGACGGAACAUGCUGCUGGUUUUUCCAUGUCUCGGUCUCCUUCUGCUGAGUAUUCUUCUAUUUCAAUCAUGGGUGUAGCAGCCCAUUUCAACAUACUGAAAACACUCACCCUAGGGCUUUCAAGUCCCUGCUGUGGACAAUCUGCAUGUGACAGCUGAGACAGGAGGAAGAGGCCCAAGGGAACGCAUUCCUGCUAGGACAGAGCUGGCUGGCUGCACAGUGGAGAGUGUUUGCUGGAAGCUGCUACCAGCCAUGGGGCACCUACCCGCCCAGCGGCCCUUGCAUCCAGAUGCAGAGCCCUGGACAAAGGACGGAGCUGUGAAAACAGUGCCUGGAGGAUCUGAUCCCUUCUAGCAAGGCCAAGAGACACGGCUGGGCUGGGGAGGACGGGGUCUCCAGGCCUCACCAUGGCCACUUAUCUAGACGCCAGCAUCAAAAGGUUCAAAGCCCAGGUCACAGGCUCAUGAAAAAAUUAAGCAGGUAUCAAAAAAUAUCACAAAGGCAACAGUUUUAUGACAUGAAAACAUCUAUCAGAGACAAUAUAAACCUGUCUGCUAAUAGAACCAGGUAAAACUGUCUAAAUUAAAUUCCGAAGAAAUUUCAAUUUUAUUUUACUAAUGAUUUUAAAAACUAGCUUUAUUUACCCAACAUGACUAAAGUCCCAUUGACCUGAAAAGCAUUUGGGCUUAUUUACUUAAUUUAUGAGUACUCCUUUAUUUAUAAGUCUAUUCAGUACCAUGUAGACAAUGUUCAAACACAGACAUAUGCACGCAUACAUAAAAAUACAAAUGAACACAAAAAAAUAAAGACUACAUGCUUUUAUUUUUAAAAUUUUAGCCAUGAGACUGGUAAAAUUCACUAGUUUAAAAGGACAGUUGUAUUAAAUUGUGUCUCUGUAAAUGGAACAAUUUAAAAUGUAUCUGUCCUACAUGGUUGAAGUCCUUACCUUACAGAGUUUUAGAGAAAGCAGGGUAGCAAAUUUACAUCUCAAAGCACAGAGAGAAUUUUAGCUUUCUCAAGGAGGAGUUUGAGUGUGUUAGAGCAAGAUUAAAAAUGGAUUUCAAGGUAACAAAAAGUUAUAGAAAUCCACCACAGGAUGUUUUUCAUUUUGUUUUUGGAGGCAGGGUCUCACUCUGUCGCUGAGGCUGGAGCGCAAUGGCGCAAUCAUGGCUCACUGAAGUCUCGACCUGGGUUCAAGCAAUCCCUUUGCCUGAACCUCCUGAGUAGCUGCUACUAUAGGCACACGUCAUCAACCUGGCUAAUUUAAAAAUAUAUAUAUAUUUAUAUAUAAAAUAUAAAAUAUAUUCUAAUAUAUUUAUAAUAUUUUAUAUAUUUAUAAU
rnacentral:lncRNA from 10 species